UAAUGGGUCUGCUCAUGAGCUGCAUGGGAGAAGGUUAUUAUUCCGAGAUGUCAAGAGUGUAUGUUGGAAAUCUUGAUCCCAGGGUCACUGAAAGAGAACUAGAAGAUGAAUUCCGUGUCUUUGGAGUUAUAAGAAGUGUUUGGGUUGCAAGACGCCCACCUGGUUAUGCUUUUAUUGACUUUGAUGACCGAAGAGAUGCACAAGACGCAAUCAGGGAUCUUGAUGGUAAGAAUGGAUGGAGAGUGGAGCUUUCACAUAAUUCUAGAGGAGAAAGGGGUGGAGGGCGAGGGGGAGGUCGUGGUCGCUCUGGAGGCUCUGAUUUGAAGUGCUACGAGUGCGGUGAGUCUGGUCAUUUUGCUCGUGAAUGCCGAGUGCGUGGAGGUCCAGGUCCUGGAAAACGUAGAAGUCGUAGCCCUCCUAGAUAUCGAAGGAGUCCAAGCUAUGGUCGCAGGAGUUAUAGUCCCCGUGGACGAUCCCCCCGACGCCGAAGCAUAUCACCUCGUGGACGCAGCUAUAGCCGAUCUCCAUACCGUGGCAGAGAUGAAGUUCCUUAUUCCAAUGGAAAUGGCAGCCUUAGGGACCGAAUCAGAAGCAGGAGCUGAAUGGAAAAGAUGGUUACUUGUCUCACUCGGGAGUUUUUGGAUGUGUGUGUUACUAUGCUUGACUUAUCUCGGCUGUGUAAGUGUCUUCUCGGUACUGCUUCAUUGGUUUUCUGCUCCCACACUCUUGUGGUUUCGUUCUUCACUGCCCUGCUGUGGGAUCUUCAAUUUCAAAGAUUGUGGAUCCCAGCUAGCUACGUCACUAGAUGCUUCUGUUUGAUUGAAUCUCUGCGGCUAUGACACGACUCACCUCAACGUGUAGUGGUAUAUUUAAGUAGAUAUUAAGGAUGAUGAAUGGCAUCACAGUCAUAUGGCAGGUACCUACAGAGGUUGAGGGAACUCACAUUCUCGUUAAACAAUUGAUUGCCACAUCAGCAUUGUCACGUUGUGCCGGUAUUUGAAAGCUUACUCAUGAAAGUUGAUGGCAUCAAGGGUUGCAUGAAACAGCCUACGUCGUGUGAUUCCCUUUGCUUUUAUUCCUUUUUUUUAAAUCAAUAAUCUGCUUCUCUUUAUAUUCUGUGUCAACUAUUCUUUGUGUUUCUUCUUCUUUUCAUCUUAUUCUUUAUCAAAAUCUUUUUUCCCAUCUUUAUCUCUCCCUCGUUGUUGAGUAGUUAACAAAAUUUCAUCAAAAUAUUGCCACACAGGUGACAUAAAUUUCAAGAUUUGAACUUCUCUCCAUACAAAUUUAUGUCUUGCUUUUAUAAAGUGGCCUUGCAAAAUAAGAAAAUUUCGAAAGAUACUAUGUGUCGAGAUUUGAGUGAUACCAAGUAAAGUUUCCUUUUCGCCUCUUCUUUUUUAAAACUAUAUAUCCUUUUAUUUCUUUUAAAACGUUGUUUUGCAUUGCAAAAUCUACUUCACUCUGUUUUGCUCUCAGCGGUAGACAGAAAAUGGUUUAUGAUGAUUUUCUUUUUCAAAAUUUUGCUAUGCGGGUUAUGGAUUUCGGGAUCUAAACUCUUUAAGGGUGAAUUGCUUCGUAGAGAUAACGUAGAUCUUCAUUUGAAUCACCACAUAUUUUAUAGAGUGGUUCAUUGCAUCUUAGCAACUAUUAUACUUGUUGCUCAGCCUUUCUGCUCUUGCCCAUGGGAAACGUCAUUGAGCUUACCUGCUUCAUACCUGGUUGUGUUUCCGAGACACAAGCUGCUUGAUUUUGCUAGCUGUUGGUAGAUAUUCGUUAAAGCAUGUCUCUCUGAUCCCCUCCGUCUUCUCAAAUGGCCUGAGUUGCUAAAGUUGACCGCAUAUUAUGAUCCAUUUUGUAUUCAAGAAACUUGAACCUUUCAAGGAAUUUUACCUGUUCUUGGUUCCAAUUGUUUUAUUGGACUUAGAUUUUCCUAGCG